AGGGUUACUUCUACAGGAGAACAGCAGGUUUGCAGAAGCAUUGCAUUAUUAUAAAUUGGCCAUCGGGAGCAGGCCUACCCUGGCUUCUGCAUAUUUGAACACUGGUAUUAUUCUAAUGAACCAAGGAAAAACUGAGGAAGCCCGUCGUACGUUCCUAAAGUGUUCUGAAAUCCCGGAUGAAAACCUAAAAGACCCUCAUGCACACAAGAGCUCUGUUACCAGCUGUCUGUACAACAUGGGAAAACUCUAUCAUGAGCAGGGACACUAUGAGGAAGCCCUUAGUGUAUACAAGGAAGCAAUUCAGAAAAUGCCAAGGCAGUUUGCCCCACAGAGCCUGUACAACAUGAUGGGU